UAUUUAGCUGUCUAACCCAGUCACGAAAGGGUUAACUUUCAUUUUGUAUCUUUGAAAGUUAAUUAAACGAGUUCUGUAAUCAUUAUUGAUUAUACUAACUAUACCUUAUUGUAAUAUAGAGUGUAAACGAAAGCUGUGCCUGAAUCCACUGUUAUCACGGAGCUAAAAGCAGUGAAUUCCGUUAAAAUGGUCAGGUUUUGGUAAAGAGUUGGAAACAUCGUGCAGAGAUCCUUUCCACGGAGUGAUACAGAUCCACACGUUCCAGACGUUCUCCCAGAGAUUCAUAGAUUCCCAGUCCGGGUGGCUGGGUGGCGAGCCAACCGUGUUUGUGACUCUGACUUUAGACGAACUGCCUGGAUCAUCCUCUUCAUCUUCGUUGUGGUAGGACAAAAACUAACUCAGAGUUUAAAAAAAGGCCCCAACGGUGAAACUGAACUUUUGUCAACCAAGGCAAAACGAACCGAGGACGAACUGAGCUCAACGAUUCUGAUACGAGAGGGUUUUGUUUUGUUUUUGUGCGCACUUUAUUAUUUUAGUUUGUUAUUUUUCAUAAAUGUGUUUUGCUUGUAUGUAUGUUUCACCCUGUGAAUUUAAUACAGGUUUGUCUAAACUGUCA